CCUACGGGCGGCAGCAGUCGAGAAUCAUUCACAAUGGGGGAAACCCUGAUGGUGCGACGCCGCGUGGGGGAAUGAAGGUCUUCGGAUUGUAAACCCCUGUCAUGUGGGAGCAAAUUAAAAAGAUAGUACCACAAGAGGAAGAGACGGCUAACUCUGUGCCAGCAGCCGCGGUACUACAGAGGUCUCAAGCGUUGUUCGGAAUCACUGGGCGUAAAGCGUGCGUAGGCUGUUUCGUAAGUCGUGUGUGAAAGGCGCGGGCUCAACCUGCGGACGGCACAUGAUACUGCGAGACUAGAGUAAUGGAGGGGGAACCGGAAUUCUCGGUGUAGCAGUGAAAUGCGUAGAUAUCGAGAGGAACACUCGUGGCGAAGGCGGGUUCCUGGACAUUAACUGACGCUGAGGCACGAAGGCCAGGGGAGCGAAAGGGAUUAGAUACCCGGGUAGUC
rnacentral:rRNA from 1 species